CAACACUUUAGUACAACCCAGAGAGAAAAGAUGCGGCAGAUGCUUUCGCCUGCUCAAAGGGCCGCGGUGCUGUCAGCUCGGAUCCGUCUUCGUUUAGGAAGGCGCUUGUUCGUCAAUCCCUGGCGUGGCUCAGCAGGAGGCCGGCUUCCACAACAGGCUCAUGUGUGGCAUCAUAAAUCCACAUUAGCGGAGGACGAGGCAUCUCGUGGGGAAGGAGACUGCAGCGGGAAAGGUCAGCGGCUGGGGCAACGUGCCAGGUGUUUGCGGAGCAGCAGACCAGUGCGGCGUGGUGAAUGUAAUUACGGCACUCUGGCAAUCUGAUAACCUGCCAGCCUGUCUCUCAACA